rnacentral:rRNA from 1 species
UGGGGAAUCUUGCGCAAUGGGCGAAAGCCUGACGCAGCAACGCCGCGUGCGGGAAGAAGGCCCUCGGGUUGUAAACCGCUUUCAGCAGGAACGAAAAUGACGGUACUUGCAGAAGAAGGUGCGGCCAACUACGUGCCAGCAGCCGCGGUGACACGUAGGCACCAAGCGUUGUCCGGAUUUAUUGGGCGUAAAGAGCUCGUAGGCGGUUCGGUAAGUCGGGUGUGAAAACUUUGGGCUUAACCCAAAGCCUGCAUCCGAUACUGCUGUGACUAGAGUUCGGUAGGGGAGCGGGGAAUUCCUAGUGUAGCGGUGAAAUGCGCAGAUAUUAGGAGGAACACCGGUGGCGAAGGCGCCGCUCUGGGCCGAUACUGACGCUGAGGAGCGAAAGCGUGGGUAGCAAACA